UCAUCAUCUAUACAGUUAAAUUAUGUAUUUGUCUUAACUCAUAGUUAAGGGGAUAACCAAAAUCUCUAUUUUUGCUUUCUUUUCUAAGGGAUCUAUGUAUGUACAAUAAAGUUAGUUAAAUGUGCUAACAAGAAAAUACCCCAAUUGUGACCAGGCAUUUUGCAGCCAUAUUUUCUGCUGUUGAUAUGAAAGUGAAGAAGGAGCAACACUUUCUUGGGAGAGGGUAUUAUGGAAAUGAUGUAUUUAGACCUCUUUGGAGACCAUGUGACAUUACCUUUCAGUCACCUAAUGACAGAAGAACUAACCAAGAUCAGUUUUCUCUACACAUCCAAGUUUAUUAAAAGACACCUGAUGAAUGAAGAAACAAAGAGACCUGUAAAUGUUAACACAGCAAGAAGAGUGGAAAUUGGAAAGUGUCUUAUAUAUUC